GCCUACGGGGGGCAGCAGUGGGGAAUAUUGCACAAUGGGGGGAACCCUGAUGCAGCGACGCCGCGUGAGCAAUGAAGCAUUUCGGUAUGUAAAGCUCUAUCAGCAGGGAAGAAAAUGACGGUACCUGACUAAGAAGCCCCGGCUAACUACGUGCCAGCAGCCGCGGUAAUACGUAGGGGGCAAGCGUUAUCCGGAUUUACUGGGGGUAAAGGGAGCGUAGACGGUCCUGCACGCCAGAUGUGAAAGCCCG
rnacentral:rRNA from 1 species